UGACUUUUCAUACCAAAUAAUUUAUACUUGUUUGUGUCUAUACAUCGACUCAAAUUCGAAACAAACCUAUCUGGAAACUUCAUAUUUUCCAAUCAAUUGAACAAGGCAAUCUUUUUAUUCUUCGUAAGAUGAGUAGGGGGCGAGCGACCGGGCCUGACGAGAUCCCGGUGGAGUUCUGGAAGUGCAUGGGUAAGUCAGGAGGGGAGUGGCUCUCUAGG
rnacentral:lncRNA from 1 species